rnacentral:rRNA from 1 species
GACCGGUUUACUGGUCGUGCUUUUGUACGUACUGGUAUAAUCGGUUUCUCUCUUCUGACGAACUAUAAUGCCAUUAAUUUGGUGUUUUAGGGAAUCAGGACUGUUACUUUGAAAAAUUAGAAGUGUUUAAAGCAGGCUCACGCUUGAAUACAUUAGCAUGGAAUAACGAAAUAGGACGUUUGAUUUUAUUUUGUUGGUUUCUAGGAUCGACGUAAUGAUUAAUAGGGAUAGUUGGG